rnacentral:rRNA from 1 species
CAGCCGCCGCGGGAAUACAGAGGAUGCAAGCGUUAUCCGGAAUGAUUGGGCGUAAAGCGUCUGUAGGUGGCUUUUCAAGUCCGCCGCCAAAUCCCAGGGCUCAACCUGGGAACUGCAUUUGUGACUGUAGAGCUGGAGUGCGGCAGAGGGGGAUGGAAUUCCGCGUGUAGCAGUGAAAUGCGUAGAUAUGCGGAGGAACACCGAUGGCGAAGGCAAUCCCCUGGGCCUGCACUGACGCUCAUGCACGAAAGCGUGGGGAGCAAACAGGAUUAGAUACCCCAGUAGUCCCUGUCUCUUAUCC